CUUUUUUUUCCGUUCUAUACUAUGUCCUCUUUGUUGUGCUAGCCCCUCCGCCGCGUAGAAGCCCCUCCUAUUCUCCUGUCCCCUCCUCUUCAUUCCGGACCACCGACGAUUCCUCCACGAGCGGCCGCUCGCCCGAGGCCGCCGGCGGAUCGCGCGCCUCAACCUAGCCCCGCGUAGGGGCGCCGGCACCAACAUGAGCGAUGCGGCGGACGGGUUUUCUUGGCCACGAGGGGCGGCGGACGGAGAGAAUGGGUGCACUUCGAUGGUGAGGGAAGGAGGAGGCGGUCGGAGUUCUCACGGGUGGGGCAACGGGCUAGCCGACGUGGUCGCGGGACGGCCACCGCGAGCAGCCGGGAGGGGCGGCCGGGGCGCGGCAUGGGCAGCAGAGGAGUUAGACAACAGUCCCCUGUACGGUCGCGGGAGGGUCACCGGGAGCGGCUGGGAGGGGCGGCAGGGGCACAGCAUAGGCGGUAGAGGGGUUAGGCGUCGAUCUCCUGUGCGGUUCUUCGAAGUCAGUACUCCGGCAGCGCGGCCUCCAGAAGGUAGAGUCUAAACAAAAGAAAUGCCAUAAAGGAGUCACUACACUACGAAGUUGAAGAGAAGGCCACGAAGAGUUUAACUACAUUGGUUCUCAUACAGCACCUAGUGGUAAAAUCUAAGACUUUAAAUAACAGUAGAUGGGCAGCAAGACUUGAAGUAAACAGUAAAAAGUCGCUACGUGUAGAAAUGACAGUCCAAAUAUCAGUAGUUCGUCAGGAUUUAAAAUUCCAAUAUAGUUGUAAAUAUAAGAACUAAUGUCCCACAACAGUUCUUAAAGUAGUACCGGUGACGAAAGGGUGGCUCCAUAAACGGCGUACGUCGGUACGUGUUCACAGCAGUGAACGUAGAGGAGACACGCAAGGGCAGUAAGGUACGGCGUGCUCCGACGUCAGUGGUGUGGGAACUCAUCCAUUAAGUAGUUAACUAUCAAAAACAGGGACGGCACUGAACGUAGAAAGAUGGAACGAAGUUUAAAUUAAACUAACUUACAGUUUAUUUCUAGUUGAAAUAGAGACUAACUAAGUACCUUCACGUUCGACUUAAUAUAAGUCCUAUAAGACUAAUAAUGAAGGUUCAAUAUAAGAUUGUGUUACAGAAACCAAAUUGUUGAACGUUCACAAAGAACAUGACUACAAUUGGAGUAUUUUUUCUGAGGGUCCACCUGUAGACGAUAUUUAUUAGUCCAUGACGAAAGGUAAUAGUUUAAGUUUACGAGUCACUUUGAUAGGUUACCUACCUGACCAACAAAUUGUGACUUAGUAGUUGUGAAAUAAGAGUAGAAUAGAGGAGAAGGUAAGUGACUUUGUAGACGUCACGUGCGAACAAUGAAGAAACUGACGAACUUGUAUUUAUAACUCUUUUGAGUUAAAAGAUACCCGUACUUAUUAGAAAGCUAAGUAUGUAUUUUAGUUUUACACCAAGGUCAAGGUCCUCCAUACCGUACUAAAGAGACGACCGCACACACACACAACGAACAAACAGACAACGGCCGACCUAACGUGUCGCCGCUACGGCCCUCGGCCCCCAGUAACCUUUUCACUCUACGGCUGCAGUGAGUUUUGCUAGGAACGUACCAUAACUGUCUUAGUAGGUGUUUAAUAAACUACCGUAACUGGGAACGAACCGUGCACGAACCGUAACUGACUUAGGAUGUAACCGCUCGAACAUAGGGCUGGUUGGAGAAACAGAAGUAAAAAAUCUUCGAUUGAGUGAACCAAACACGCGAGGUUAAACGUAUAUCUCUCCAAGUCUACAGACCGGUCGAUCCGUGACGGAUAAAGAGAUUUGGACUUUUAAGUUUUUAGUGAAAUCAAAAGUGAUUGUGUCGAUCCCGGUUGUGGACGAUAGUUUUCUCGGAGUUGUCACCUGCCCCACCGCCUCAUCAGUGCAUGGUUGUUAUGUCAUUGACGAUCGAUAUGAAGACCUCGUUUAAGAAACAGCAUCAGUAGUCCGGCGUCUACCGCAACGGCCCUAUGUGCGGGUGGUUCCAGAGGCCGGUAUAUCCGGGUACUCCCUAGGUCCCACAACGAGAUACGUCGUAGUACUGGUGUUACCGCUGAAACAAAACUUUUAUGAUAAACUUACCGUAGUGUUGUAACUCAUGUGUAAAAAAAAAGUUGUCAACGAAAUAAAAAUAUGGUACACUUAGAGGGACCCAAUCUCGAACUCUGCACGCAAUGUGUGCUAAUUAAAAAGUGCUAAAUAACAACAACGAUAAAGGGUGCUCCAUGACCUAUUUUUCACAAGCCGCACACCACGAGAAGUUACUGAACAAGAGAAAACUUCUCGUUCGUUAUCUCGUACUCUCACAGCACUAGGAGGUUUAAGGACGAACGAAGAUAUGGGCAUAUAGACAAUAAAAACUGACUAAAAUAAGGGAACUUACGAUGUAUUCUCCACAGAAACGUCUCGAAUUCUUGUUAAAUAAACCAACCUCGAUUGAUUAUGACAUAACGUUUCCCGGUCUGUCGGUUGGUUGAUGUUUACCUGACGGGCUUAAAUAGGUACACAACCUUAUCUACUAUAAACUACUAAACUUGGAACGUUGCCAUCCCAAAGGUGUACAUAGAUGGAGUUAAAUAAACUACUAUGAACAACUUUCUAUAAAGAUUAUGAAAUCACGUACACUAUAUAAUAAAAUCUAUCAUCAUGAUGAAAUUACACCACACAAUGUAAAAUCGACCGUUUACCCAAUUUAAGUAGAUGCGUAGUCCAGUAGUCGUGAGUCAUAGAGACACAAGAACUGUAUGUUUUUGAUAAGCACACACUUGAGAACUUCAUUUUAUGGUAUAACAGACGAACUAACAAUAACAUCAAUUGUUUUACAAAUUUUUAAAUCGUUUUUGUAUGUUGUAGGUCAUUAUAUCAUGAAUAAUCGUAGAUAGCACUAAUAGUUGUAAAUAUAAACAUUCUGUACACAACGUGUACGUACAAAUAUGACAAAAUUCAAAAGUUGACGUCCCCACACUCUGAAAUCGUACGAGACAUGUAUUCGUCCCUCAAGUCCCCGUCUUGACUUCCAUCUGAGCCCACGUCAAUGGGUGAGGAUGAACGAAAGUGAUCUUGUUGUAUAAUGUGACACUUUCGUUCUAGUACGUGACCGUAGCCAAAAUAAUGAGGUGUCUACACCCAGUAGCCGGUACUGUUUUAUACCCUAUUGUUUAUAAUACCUAUGUUCUACCGUUGUAUUUGAAGCGUUAAAAUACUAAACACUAGAGCAUCUAAAAACGGUACGCCUCCUGUUUACUAAGACCGAUAUACGUGACCUCAAAUUAGGUACAUACACUUGAUUAAUCUAUAGCUAGAUACAUUUAAACCUCUUAGUAUACACAAACUCUACUAAACUCUCACGGGAAUGGCCGGCACAUCCAGGUACCAUUAAGCUAACAAGACUAAACACAAGGUAAAAAUGAAUUGCCUCUACAUAAAAGUGAUAAUUCACAUUAUUAAUUAUUGAUAACCUACACAAGGCGUUGCGCUAUGCGCUACUCACCCUAAAAGGAACCGUACUCGCCUCUACGGAAGCUUAAUGAUUCAAAAUAAACCAACAGACAAAGUACACAAUCAAGACAUAACAUGGUUACAAGUAAGUUUACUUUUACGUUC
rnacentral:rRNA from 1 species